GGGUUGUGAGGUUAAGCGACUAAGCGUACACGGUGGAUGCCCUGGCAGUCAGAGGCGAUGAAGGACGUGCUAAUCUGCGAUAAGCGUCGGUAAGGUGAUAUGAACCGUUAUAACCGGCGAUUUCCGAAUGGGGAAACCCAGUGUGAUUCGUCACACUAUCAUUAACUGAAUCCAUAGGUUAAUGAGGCGAACCGGGGGAACUGAAACAUCUAAGUACCCCGAGGAAAAGAAAUCAACCGAGAUUCCCCCAGUAGCGGCGAGCGAACGGGGAGCAGCCCAGAGCCUGAAUCAGUGUGUGUGUUAGUGGAAGCGUCUGGAAAGGCGCGCGAUACAGGGUGACAGCCCCGUACACAAAAAUGCACAUGCUGUGAGCUCGAUGAGUAGGGCGGGACACGUGGUAUCCUGUCUGAAUAUGGGGGGACCAUCCUCCAAGGCUAAAUACUCCUGACUGACCGAUAGUGAACCAGUACCGUGAGGGAAAGGCGAAAAGAACCCCGGCGAGGGGAGUGAAAAAGAACCUGAAACCGUGUACGUACAAGCAGUGGGAGCACAGAGCAAUCUGUGUGACUGCGUACCUUUUGUAUAAUGGGUCAGCGACUUAUAUUCUGUAGCAAGGUUAACCGAAUAGGGGAGCCGAAGGGAAACCGAGUCUUAACUGGGCGUUAAGUUGCAGGGUAUAGACCCGAAACCCGGUGAUCUAGCCAUGGGCAGGUUGAAGGUUGGGUAACACUAACUGGAGGACCGAACCGACUAAUGUUGAAAAAUUAGCGGAUGACUUGUGGCUGGGGGUGAAAGGCCAAUCAAACCGGGAGAUAGCUGGUUCUCCCCGAAAGCUAUUUAGGUAGCGCCUCGUGAAUUCAUCUCCGGGGGUAGAGCACUGUUUCGGCAAGGGGGUCAUCCCGACUUACCAACCCGAUGCAAACUACGAAUACCGGAGAAUGUUAUCACGGGAGACACACGGCGGGUGCUAACGUCCGUCGUGAAGAGGGAAACAACCCAGACCGCCAGCUAAGGUCCCAAAGUCAUGGUUAAGUGGGAAACGAUGUGGGAAGGCCCAGACAGCCAGGAUGUUGGCUUAGAAGCAGCCAUCAUUUAAAGAAAGCGUAAUAGCUCACUGGUCGAGUCGGCCUGCGCGGAAGAUGUAACGGGGCUAAACCAUGCACCGAAGCUGCGGCAGCGACGCUUAUGCGUUGUUGGGUAGGGGAGCGUUCUGUAAGCCUGCGAAGGUGUGCUGUGAGGCAUGCUGGAGGUAUCAGAAGUGCGAAUGCUGACAUAAGUAACGAUAAAGCGGGUGAAAAGCCCGCUCGCCGGAAGACCAAGGGUUCCUGUCCAACGUUAAUCGGGGCAGGGUGAGUCGACCCCUAAGGCGAGGCCGAAAGGCGUAGUCGAUGGGAAACAGGUUAAUAUUCCUGUACUUGGUGUUACUGCGAAGGGGGGACGGAGAAGGCUAUGUUGGCCGGGCGACGGUUGUCCCGGUUUAAGCGUGUAGGCUGGUUUUCCAGGCAAAUCCGGAAAAUCAAGGCUGAGGCGUGAUGACGAGGCACUACGGUGCUGAAGCAACAAAUGCCCUGCUUCCAGGAAAAGCCUCUAAGCAUCAGGUAACAUCAAAUCGUACCCCAAACCGACACAGGUGGUCAGGUAGAGAAUACCAAGGCGCUUGAGAGAACUCGGGUGAAGGAACUAGGCAAAAUGGUGCCGUAACUUCGGGAGAAGGCACGCUGAUAUGUAGGUGAAGUCCCUCGCGGAUGGAGCUGAAAUCAGUCGAAGAUACCAGCUGGCUGCAACUGUUUAUUAAAAACACAGCACUGUGCAAACACGAAAGUGGACGUAUACGGUGUGACGCCUGCCCGGUGCCGGAAGGUUAAUUGAUGGGGUUAGCGCAAGCGAAGCUCUUGAUCGAAGCCCCGGUAAACGGCGGCCGUAACUAUAACGGUCCUAAGGUAGCGAAAUUCCUUGUCGGGUAAGUUCCGACCUGCACGAAUGGCGUAAUGAUGGCCAGGCUGUCUCCACCCGAGACUCAGUGAAAUUGAACUCGCUGUGAAGAUGCAGUGUACCCGCGGCAAGACGGAAAGACCCCGUGAACCUUUACUAUAGCUUGACACUGAACAUUGAGCCUUGAUGUGUAGGAUAGGUGGGAGGCUUUGAAGUGUGGACGCCAGUCUGCAUGGAGCCGACCUUGAAAUACCACCCUUUAAUGUUUGAUGUUCUAACGUUGACCCGUAAUCCGGGUUGCGGACAGUGUCUGGUGGGUAGUUUGACUGGGGCGGUCUCCUCCUAAAGAGUAACGGAGGAGCACGAAGGUUGGCUAAUCCUGGUCGGACAUCAGGAGGUUAGUGCAAUGGCAUAAGCCAGCUUGACUGCGAGCGUGACGGCGCGAGCAGGUGCGAAAGCAGGUCAUAGUGAUCCGGUGGUUCUGAAUGGAAGGGCCAUCGCUCAACGGAUAAAAGGUACUCCGGGGAUAACAGGCUGAUACCGCCCAAGAGUUCAUAUCGACGGCGGUGUUUGGCACCUCGAUGUCGGCUCAUCACAUCCUGGGGCUGAAGUAGGUCCCAAGGGUAUGGCUGUUCGCCAUUUAAAGUGGUACGCGAGCUGGGUUUAGAACGUCGUGAGACAGUUCGGUCCCUAUCUGCCGUGGGCGCUGGAGAACUGAGGGGGGCUGCUCCUAGUACGAGAGGACCGGAGUGGACGCAUCACUGGUGUUCGGGUUGUCAUGCCAAUGGCACUGCCCGGUAGCUAAAUGCGGAAGAGAUAAGUGCUGAAAGCAUCUAAGCACGAAACUUGCCCCGAGAUGAGUUCUCCCUGACUCCUUGAGAGUCCUGAAGGAACGUUGAAGACGACGACGUUGAUAGGCCGGGUGUGUAAGCGCAGCGAUGCGUUGAGCUAACCGGUACUAAUGAACCGUGAGGCUUAACCUUACAACGCCGAAGGUGUUU
rnacentral:rRNA from 1 species